rnacentral:rRNA from 1 species
CUCGCCUACAUGAAGUCGGAAUUGCUAGUAAUCGCGGAUCAGCAUGCCGCGGUGAAUACGUUCCCGGGCCUUGUACACACCGCCCGUCACACCAUGGGAGUCGGUAACACCCGAAGCCUGUAGUCUAACCGCAAGGAGGACGCAGUCGAAGGUGGGAUUGAUGACUGGGGUGAAGUCGUAACAAGGUAGC